rnacentral:rRNA from 1 species
AUUGAACGCUGGCGGCAGGCCUAACACAUGCAAGUCGAGCGGCAGCGGGAAAGAAGCUUGCUACUUUUGCCGGCGAGCGGCGGACGGGUGAGUAAUGCCUGGGGAUCUGCCCAGUCGAGGGGGAUAACUACUGGAAACGGUAGCUAAUACCGCAUACGCCCUACGGGGGAAAGCAGGGGACCUUCGGGCCUUGCGCGAGUGGAUGAACCCAGGUGGGAUUAGCUAGUUGGUGAGGUAAUGGCUCACCAAGGCGACGAUCCCUAGCUGGUCUGAGAGGAUGAUCAGCCACACUGGAACUGAGACACGGUCCAGACUCCUACGGGAGGCAGCAGUGGGGAAUAUUGCACAAUGGGGGAAACCCUGAUGCAGCCAUGCCGCGUGUGUGAAGAAGGCCUUCGGGUUGUAAAGCACUUUCAGCGAGGAGGAAAGGUCGGUAGCUAAUAACUGCCAGCUGUGACGUUACUCGCAGAAGAAGCACCGGCUAACUCCGUGCCAGCAGCCGCCGUAAUAC